GCCCAGGUAGCUCAGUGGUAGAGCUCCUGUACAUGGUAAGCGAAAGAUCCCAGCAAUAACCACGAGGAGGUCGCAGUUUCGAAUCAUGCCCGGUGGCU